AACGCACUUUUUCCCCAUCUCUAGCGGCCUUUGCAAAAUCUGUCAGUUCCGAAAUACUCCGGGACUGACAGCCCACGGUCCCUCGAUUGAUUUUUGAUGCAUACACCUGGAAUGCUUUGAUGGCCGGUGUGGCUACGACCGGGAUGAUGUAAGGAUCAAUCAUCUCCGCAACUGGGUAAAAGUUGCGAGGAAGCAUUUUUAAAUUGCACUGCUAUUGCUGCUGUUGUGAUCGCUCUGAUACAGUCUGCUUCACUCUGGGCCCUUGGCUCAGUGUAAUAAUCGAACGUGUACUCCUGGCUAGUUUAUUUUAAGGUCUGCUUCAGGCGUUCAAUCUCCUAUUGCAUAGUCACAAUCCGCUCCUCCUGCUCUUUUAGCGCCAUAGAUCCCCGCGCUAUUUGCUCCUUCAGCAACUGGAUGACAUGCUCCGGCCGCCUCACCUCCCUCUGUUUGAAUUUCAGGGUCCCGAAGAGGUUGCGCGGUUAAUUCCCGGCCGCGGGACCUGACUUUUCAGCGUGUCUUUCUCGCCAACUUGACAGUACAUUUUGUCCAGUUUGGCUCGGUUCUCCUGCUCGGUCUUCUGCUGGCUGUUUAUCAAGUCGUUCCGAGCGGUGAGCAUCUGCUGAUCGAGAUCGGUCUUCUCCCGCAAUUUGGUCAUCUCAUUGUUUAGCCGAUCCUCGACUUGAGAUUGGGUCUCCGAUUCGAUGGAUUUGAUAUUUAAUGCUCCUCUUAGUGCACUGGAACUUGGAAAAAAAAAUUUAAAAAGUUCCUCAAAGUCAGCGUGCUGCUUCAAGGCAUUGUUAACCUGCAUGUUGAGAAAGUUUUUAUGGUCCUCGAGGUUUCGCAUCUGCAGCUUGAGAUCGCCAAUAACCAGAUCCUUCUCCAUGACACCCUUGUCCAUGACAUCCUGACGCUGCUGCAGAUUGACAAAGUAUCUCACACUUUAAUUUUUAUUUUUAAGUACGGUAAAACGUAGUUUUAAAUUUAAAA